rnacentral:rRNA from 1 species
AUGCACGCUGGCGGCGUGCCUAAUACAUGCCAGUCGAGCGAACAGACGAGGAGCUUGCUCCUCUGACGUUAGCGGCGGACGGGUGAGUAACACGUGGAUAACCUACCUAUAAGACUGGGAUAACUUCGGGAAACCGGAGCUAAUACCGGAUAAUAUAUUGAACCGCCUGGUUCAAUAGUGAAAGACGGUUUUGCUGUCACUUAUAGAUGGAUCCGCGCCGCAUUAGCUAGUUGGUAAGGUAACGGCUUACCAAGGCGACGAUGCGUAGCCGACCUGAGAGGGUGAUCGGCCACACUGGAACUGAGACACGGUCCAGACUCCUACGGGAGGCAGCAGUAGGGAAUCUUCCGCAAUGGGCGAAAGCCUGACGGAGCAACGCCGCGUGAGUGAUGAAGGUCUUCGGAUCGUAAAACUCUGUUAUUAGGGAAGAACAAAUGUGUAAGUAACUAUGCACGUCUUGACGGUACCUAAUCAGAAAGCCACGGCUAACUACGUG